ensembl:lncRNA
AUCACUGGCAGUGUCCCAGGUCAACUUUAAAGCUGACGGGCUGUGAGAUCGUCACGCUCAGCAAAGUGAGGAAAUGACAGGAGAAUAAUUGUUUCCUUUAUCACAACCACAGCCACCAUCUACAGACUGUGAAACUGAUCUUAAUUAGGACGUAACCAGAGAUGAGUCAACUAAACCUCAUGUGUGAUAAUUAGGCAAAGAAUUAGGAUGUAUCUAUUUGUUCCCUUUUGAUGUCAGUGAACUCUAAAGCUCUGCCUUUUAAAUCAUAUAAAUACUUUUCUAAAGUCUGUCCUCAUAACUUAAUCCCAAUGGCAGGCAACGGCGCAGAUAUCGUACCAAUAUCAGUGAAAUGCAAGAAGAAAAUUAGCAGGGACUUUAAUUAGUCAUUUAAAAUAUUUUUGGGCAUAAGGGAAGCACUUUGGUAAAACUAUCUGUAAUUCCACAUUUAUGCUUUUGUUAUAUAGGUUCACUGUAGGGCAGGACUUGAGUAUUGUUCCCUGGACUAAUGGAAAUUGGGGCAACAGUGUGGAUGAAUUUAUACAGAUUUUUAAAGUAACAAGUUUUGUACUAAGGAAAUGAAAAAAACUUAAUUAUCAAUGAGCUAAAAUGGCAUUCUCAAGUCUCCUAAAUUAUUCCCAUUCCCAAUUACUCAGUCAUAUAAUUGUAACACAACAGAUAAUUAGCCAAAUCUUAUAUUUAUCAGUAUCCCAGUGACAUUGAUGGUGAAUAUGUACCAAUAUUGGUGGAUCCCUAAUACAUUAUAAACAGGGACCACUGAGGCUUCCCAGAGGUGCAGUUUGGCUAAAAUAUGUAAUUCCACAUCUGUACAGACGGCUGAUUGUCUCCAUGUAUACUCCUUGUAUUUCAUUGUGUCUUUUUAUGAGAAAUAACCCAUUCUCAAUAUUCUUGUUAAUGUUAUUACCAAUGCUCCUGAUAAUACAGUUAACUGCCCUCUUAUGCUACACUCUUCAUACUGUAUGCACAGUUACACCUCUUGCUCAUCUGAACAGACUGUUUCUUCCCUUAUGGAGAAUAAAGUUCAAAACCUGUUUA